AGAUGAAAAGGGCUUUUUGCAAAGAAUUAAAUAGUACUUGAAAUUAUUUGAAGGGAGGUAUAUGGAAACUAUAGAUAUGCUCUAAUUUGAUGCAGAAUAGUUUUAGCUGGUCCAUUGCUUGACAUGGACCAAUGGUCAAUGCAAGCUAUCUUAGUGGGACAAGAGCAUAAUAUAGGUUUGUAAAUGUGCCACCAAAGUGGUGAAGGCAUGAAGCAUGUGGUCUUCUUCAAGAGCGUAGAACUUGUCUAAACUACAUACUUGAGACAUUAGUGUAUUGAGCUCUUUAUUUAACUUGUCUUGAAAUAUGG
rnacentral:ncRNA from 1 species